AGAAUCUCGCCGCAAGCUUUGUAUUUGACGAUCGUAGCAAUGGCUUGAGCCAAAGUUUAUCAUUGCUUGUGAUUCAUAUUUAGGUGUCCAAGAACACUACUAGGGAGUGAUGUUGAUGGGCAACGUUAAGUAGAUAUAGAUGUAGUUAAAAUACAUUGCAGUAGUUCAAGAUGUAGUUUUAUCUACUCCUCUGAAAAGUAGUUGACAUACUAGUUAAACUACUCCAUCGCGAAGUUGUUAGUAGUUCUAGUUAAACUACUGUAGAAGUAGUUAGUGGCCAUCACUGCUAUUCACACUCCCCGUUCGUUGCAUACGCCCUUUUCAUCUGCGCCAAAAAUUGCGCGCCAUUCAAUGAGUACCAUAAAAGCGACGUCAUUCACUGCACUAGUUCUCUAGCGAUAUCGUUCGCUGGAUGCUAGUAUUUUUCUACUGUUGGUCAGAGACUAGUUUUGUGUUUAUAAGUUUGAGCUUGAUUGUAAAAGAAAUUAGAAAAAGGAGACACGAGUUUUACAGCUGUCCCCUACAUCUUUUCCGUGUUGAUGUUUAUGGACAAUAAAAGCUGUCGCAUUCUCAUUCGUUGUUUCAUUGGCUUUUCAACUCCGCUCCUGCUCAAGAUACGGUUCAUCGACAUAGAAAGUAUGCAAGAACAACCGCAAAACCUGUCUGAUCAACAACAGGAAAACACUAGGUUGGAUUGGGAACUACAUCCAACGACCCCCCUGUGCAGCAAGUGUGAGGGACAGAAUGUGACCACACCUUACCUUUCAUUCCUGCCUGUUUGAGUCAUCGUGCCCCAGCCUUAUGGAUACAGAGCUGCAUCAAAUGCAGCUGUCCCCAAAGUUGAGCGGUCACGUCUCAAGAGUAAAAUCGCGACCUCCUGAUGCUGCAUGCCUACAUCGACAGGGCCAGAUAAAGCAACUGUACUGCAACAUGUCACCAUCAAGAGGCAGUAGCUAUGGGGAGACAGCUGGGAUGUGCCACAUUCAAGAGGAACCUCUAGGCAACUCUUCAAAUGAACAUGCAAUUAUAGAAGCGAAGAUGGAGCCAAACAACACUUUUUGUUUGUAUGGGGCACAGACAUGACUCAGCAUCAGAAGCUACAUUGGCUGAACACGUUCAGAGGCUUGCCAAAUGAAAAAUUCCAGUGCAAGACAGCAUAUCCGAGGGCAAAGGAGCCGAGCAACUGAAUUGAACUAAAAGCUAAAACAAUAGCCCGGAAUGCGGCUACUGCCAGAAAAAGAAAGGUGCUAUCCCAACAACUCAGCAGCACAUGGUGACGACGACGAUGAUGACAGCAUGAUACCAAAGAAGCUCCUCCUGGAUGAGCAGUGCAAAAUUUUCAUGCCUUAGCAGAAACCGCAAGCUUUGCGAUAGGAACAUAAACUCCAAAUGUGCCACAAUCUCCUGGAGGACCUCAUGCUAAACAAGCUGGAUGCAAGGCCUUCAUGUACCUGCGGAGUUCUUACACUAUACCGGCCUGGACACAGAUCUUUACAAGUGCCCCUGAAUCAUCAUCCCCUCGUCCGUGAACCUCCACAGCGACGGUGAACUGCCCACCUCAUCAUCAUCGAGUGUGUGUGUGUGCAUCUCCUCUUCAAAGGGAGGUUGACUUCGGACAAAGUAAGGCUGUCAAGAGCAAGACAGUGACACGUCGAAAAGGCUGUUCAGAUAAACACACAUGAGUAUCCUGUCACUAGUACACACCUUAGUUCGGAUUUUAGACUCAGCAAAUCUAACUGUGCUUCACACACCGGUUGUCAGUUUUCAUAGUUCAGCUUAUGUACGGGUUCGAAGGCAAGACACUAUGAACAAGGCAUCACUUCACGACACGGAAUCAACGAGCACCUCAGUGUUUCCUGUGUUAUAGCGAGAAAUCCUUCAAGUGUCCUUCAAGGGGCUGCUGCUUGAGUAUUCUUUGUGUGGCACGCAACACUCCUCUCAAGAGUGCCUCUAGAAGCACUGCAAGGCCAAGCAGUUCUACAUGGGGAGAGGCAACCCUAUGCGUUCAUGUGGCCCAAGAAAUGACAUUAGAAGAAGGCACUGGAUGUGUACCAAACUUGGAGUUGAUUCAGAAACAUGUCACGAGGGAGGGGAUUCUACCUGUGAACACAUCUGAAACAUAAUCUAAAUCUGUACUUAAAACCCUGAGGAUAGGGAGAAUAUACUAGUCGGGGAGGAAGGUGAAAGGAAGGGUUAGUUUCAUGGCACAGUGGGAAACCUUCGUUCUCCCUCUCCUCUCCCACGAGUAUGUGAUUUGUGUGUUAUAUUAUGUGUAUUUUGCUCAUUGCCAGAGCUUAAUUGCUCUCGCCAUGCAUUCUAUCAUUACCAUCUGCAGAAAUGUCUGAGAGUGCUCUUUACACCUUUUGGGGAUGAACACACGCAUGCAUUCAGUUUGUGGUCCGCAUCCCCUCAUUUCCUGACCGUGUGAGGAUAAGCCUCUACCACAUUUGAAGAAGAGAACACAAAAAGCCCUGAUGUUUGUUUGUAGUCUACCUUGGGCAACUACCCCUCUGUGCUGCAACCUCAUCUAAUAUGUGAUGUCAAUUCUGUGACGUGUAAUAGUGUGGUUCAUUACUUUUCUUUUUUGGUUUGUUGGUCCUCUUGGUAUUGGUUGACGUAACGUUUAUAUAGUAUCUGAAUAUUUGGCAACAGGCUUUCAUCAAGUGCUUCUUCGUCUAACAGGUGCUGACAGCUCUCACCGGAGCACUAUG